GGAUAUAGUUCAUGGUAGAGUGCUUGUCUGGCAUGCAUGAGUCCUGGGUUUGAUUCCCAGUCCA
rnacentral:tRNA from 1 species